GCCUCCUCCUCCUUCGCUCGUCGUCGUCAGCCGGCUUCGAUGACAUCGUUCGUCUCUCGAUUCGUCUCGCCCACUUGCUUUUUGAUUUUUAUGUGCUUCGUCUUCUACUUUCAACUUGUGAUUUUUCUGUGCUUCGUCAUCUGGUCGUUGGGAUGAUCAGUCUCUGAUCGGUUCCCAAUCGACUCGUUCCCUUGAAGCAACAUCAUCCUGUUGUAUCCUGUGUUCGCCUCUUUCGUGUGCCCUCGGAGUUGUCUCUCAGGGCACCGGCGGCUCUUACAUACAUAACACAACACUAUCAAUCUACCGUGUUCCCUCUACUUCUAUUUUUUCUUGGCUUUUCUGACAACCGUGAUGAGCCUCUUUUACAGUUGCAGACCUGUAAUGACUCCUGCGGAAAUGAUCGCAUGGUCAAAGAACAUCUAAGGGACUGAGUUGUCUUCGCAAUCUACAUUUUGUAGCGUGGGUAUCUGGAUCUCGUUUUUUUCUGGUGCAUCUCUGUUUUUUUCUGGCGUAAUCGUUUUUUGUGCUCUCUUGUUUUAAUCUGCUUCUCUUUAAGUAUUCGUGUCUGUGAACUAACUUCAAUGGUUCCUGGGCAAUGAUGAGAUGGGAAGCAGAAAUCAAAUGUUCCUCUCGCUAUCCAAUGCGGAAUUUCCUGAUGCGAUUGGACGUCGAGGAACUACAUUUUGUCAUCAAAAACAGAUUACAAAUUGCGGAUGAAGUAUUUAUUGUCAUCUUGGAGUUCUUGCCCUCACGAAAUAGAACGGCCGUGUUAUUUGACAGUAUAUGGGAACGUACUAAGUAGUACUAACUCAUAAUUAUAAAACUGGCAGAUGACCACCACACUUGGACGGGAGAUCUUUUUUUUAUGUCAAACAACGAUUUAAGAGCCAAUGGGCCCAAGGAUAUAUCUAUGCCAAGAAGUAGAAAACUGAGUCUGGACGAAUGUAAUCUCCUUCAAAAAUACUUGUUCGUGUUCCUGUCAGGAACGCCUUACUCCGUAUGACAAUUUGUGGGCGCAGCCAUAAUUUUGAUCAAAUUUACGUUAACUAUCUUUUAUAUGCCGAAGAAAACAUGAUAUUUUGUGUUGCGUUCCCAAGUAUAUGACCUGUACCGAUCAUGCGCCUGCUACAUCUGUUGAAUUUGUGUGCUUCGUCAUCUGGUCGUUGGGAUGAUCAGGCUCUGAUCGGUUUCCAACCGACUCGUUCCCUUGAAGCAACAUCGUCCUGUUGUAUCCUGUGUUCGCUUCUUUCGUGUGCCUUUGUAGUCGUCUCUCAGGGCGCCAGCGGCUCUUACAUACAUGACAUUAUCAAUCAAUCUCCUGUGUUCAAUCUAUUUCUCUCUUGUUUGCUUUUUCUGACAACCGUGAUGAGCCUCUUUUACACUUACAGACCUGUAAUGACUCCUGCGGAAAUGAUCGCAUGGUCAAAGAACAUCUAAGGGACUGAGUUG
rnacentral:lncRNA from 1 species